rnacentral:tRNA from 1 species
ACCCGGGUGGUGAAAUUGGUAGACGCGCCAGCUUGAGGGGCUGGUGCUGGCAACGGCGUGGCAGUUCGAAUCUGCUCUCGGGUA